GCCAUCUCUCCAGCCCACAUAUUUAUUCUUGAGAAAGUUUCUUCCUUGACUAUAGAUCUCCAAAUAGGCUAGACUGGGUUGGCCAGCAAACCUGCCCCUCUCUGUCUCCCCAGUGUAAGAUUGCAGGUGCACACCUCCACACCCAGCUUUUUUACAUGGGUUCUAGUGAUCAAACGCAAGUCUUUGUUUUACAUGCACUUUACUGCCAGGGCCAUCUCUCCACCAUAGCAAAUAAUUUUCAAUGUGUAUAUGGAGCAGCAGGAAGGCAUACUGGGAAAAUAUGGACCUACUCUGUGAGCUUCACAGAGAGACUUAGCAAGCACCAUCGUCACACUGCACAUGCCCAGUGUCUCCUGUGAUGUCCACUCCUUCCUUCUCUAUAAAAUUCCCAUGUGAGACUUUAUACCCUCCUUCAGUCAUCUGCAAGCAACACUCUCCCCUUUAUGUUUCCUGUUUGUUUUUUGCACCACACCCUUCAUGUUUGAUCUUUCCAGAAACUUGAACCUGGUGGGCCAUCACCUUCCCUACAUGAAGAUCAGCACAGCUCCCUAUGAGACCUUCCUCUCUUGGGGGCUAUCUCCCUUCCUUCUCUAGAGAGGUUGCUAAAAUGCUCCAGCGGGGGUAUGGACCAUGAUGACACUACUUAUGUUGCCUCUGAAACCUCCCAAUGCCAAGCUGCAGAGCAAUCAGCUAUGGGAGUAAGCUCUAUUAGGAGGGGCGGGCCAGAAAUAAAAGGUGGAGUCAGCCACCAAGCAAACUCGCAGGUUUAGCUGUGCACCUCUCUAUGGAACUUCCUAUCUUGAGGUGGAGAGAUUAGCUAGUUCUACCCCCAAACCAAUCUGCAAUCAGAUGACAGUCGUCCUAGUUGAUGGAAGAACCCACAAGACUCAUCUGGAUCAACUGGACACUUCUGAUCAAGGACAAUUGUCAGAGGUGGCCGUUUUAGAUGGAAAUAAAACACUGUGGGGCAGAAGAAAUGAAUGGAGCCAAGUGGAACCUAGAGCUCCAACGGGGUGUCUACACUGGGACAGAGGACCCACCAAGCAUGGCCUCUUUCCUUUCACUUUCACUUGGACCCCUCUAGAAUCUGAAUUUCUGCCGCUCUCCUGUUGGCCCAAUAUACAGCUAUCAUCAAUUCCUGUGUAAAAGGGAACCACUCACUUCUUUGUGUUUCCACUUCAUGAAAAGCUGGACCAUCUAUGGCCACAAGCCUGGCCGUUGAGUUAGAAGAUGAAUUGAGAGGGCUGGAGAGAUGGCUCAGUGGUUAAGAGCACUGACUGCUCCUCCAGAGGUCCUGAGUUCAGUUCCCAGCAGCCACAUGAUGGCUCACAACCAUCUGUAAUCGGAUCUGAUGCCCUCUUCUGGGGUGUCUGAAGACAGCUACAGUGUACUUACGCAUAAUAAAUAAAUAAAUCUU
rnacentral:sRNA from 1 species